CGAAAUAGUGCAUUCGGAAAUAGAAAAAAAAAAUGCUCAGCUCGCAGUCAGCGUCCGAAAGUGAGGCGUCAGAGUCGCGCGCUUCCUCAUGGAAACCAUGGACAGCUAUGGCAGACCUAGCUGAAGCAGUCGACGACCUCAUCUGCAGUUUCGACUACAUGGACACAGCUAUGGACAACCUGGUCAUGUUGGUGUUCAUUUGGAUGGUGCUGUCCAUAGCGAUCAUCGCGAUCGCCAAAUGGGCGUACGGGAGGUUCGCUAAAAAGACGACGGACGCUGAUAAACCAAAAAUCGAUGAGACGAAAAAAACAACGAACGAAAUAGUUUCCAGUGCUGAUAGUGUGCUCGCUACCAGUGCUAAAGUUAAGAGUGCCUCAUUCAAGCCGACUAAAGCGACGGGCUUCGUGCCCGCCACUCCACCGAACAAGAAGAGGUUGGGGCGCAUGUCCCCGGGACCAGAGCAGUUGACCGUCAAAAAGCAUCAGUCAGUGUCUGUGCCCACAUGCACGGGCGGAGAUCAGCCGAGCGUGCAAUGGGUGAACGAUGUACUGACGUGGCUCUACAACGAUCUAGUUAUCGUCAACGAACUCGUGCAGCAAUGGAUCUCGUCCAUGAACGAGUUCUCGAAGAAAUCCGUCGAGGAGCAAGGAAUCGGCGUGGAGAUAGUACGAGCGUUGGACAGCCACCCGCCCAAUAUAUCGAAUGUAUUCAGCGAGUGUGACUCCAAGGAUGACGUGACGAUAACCUGCGACUGUGAAGCCACUCCAGCGUUUCAAGUGAAAGCCUUCAGUCAGCGAGGGGAGAAGGUGGAAGUGUCACACUACAGAGUCAACGUGAAUAGGUUCCGCGCCCGCCUCAACGUGGUCUGCGUGACAGAUAAGCUCACAGGAGACCUCAAGUUUGACGGGUGGCCAGAAGUCAAAGUGGCACUGGCGCCGGUCGGUCCUUUGAGGCCGAACGCCACUGAAUCCAACCUACAGCAGUUGAUCAGUGACAUUGUCGUGAAUGCCUUAAGAAAUUCCCACCUGCAGUUUAAUCUGUCUCAAUACCCGACCUGUCCUAGGCUGAGACGGUACGUUGAGACAUCCUCACGCCUACCCCUGCACUAUGAUUCCAUGUUACAGCACGACCGUCACAUGUACACCUCGACUCCGAACUCAGCGGCCGGCAGCGGUCUACUCGGAGACAAGAGGUUGCUGGUCAAGAUCGUCGGUGCCAAGGACUUGGGAGGUAAAACUGGGUGCAUAGCACCGUACUGCGUGGUGGAGAUGGAUGAGCCUCCUCAGAAGAACCAAACCGGCUUCAAGAAGGAAACCACGAGUCCUCAGUGGGACGAACACUUUUUGUUCGACCUGUCUCCGCAGACCGCGGAAUUACUUUUCGAGGUCUACGACCGGACCGGGCCCCCGUCCCCGGGAGGCGGAUCCUCGCAGCACAGGUUCUUAGGUCUGGGCUUGGUCGGUAUUGACGAACUGUUGGCGGCGCCCUCCCAGAGACAACAGCUGGCUCUGCAGACCAGGCCGAUGGAACAACACGACGUCAGCGGCACCCUCACCGUCGAGUUCCUCUUCAUCGACGGCCCCGACAUCCCGGACUUCGGCUCCAGACCCGUCAAAAUCAAGGAGAGCCUCAGGACCGUGUCCCCCCACGGCCAACUCACCACCACUACCAAGACCACCUUCCAUCAGAACGGGAUACCAGCACAGGACAACUCUAAGCUGACGGAGUCCGCACUUCGGGAGCUGGAGCUCAGUCCGACGGGUGCCGCCAACAAGUCCACCCUCAUCAUACACUCGGUGCAGAGAGAACCAAAGAAGUCUAUAAUGGUCGAACUAACCGACUCCGGGAAAUUCAUUGAAGUCGAACGCGCAGACGCCAUAGACAAACAGGAAACGGAAGCGAAACAAUUAGAUAAAAUCGAAGAGGCGGUUACAGAUAAAAAAUCUGUGACCCCGAACCAAUCUCCCGGCAAAAGUGUAAGGAUCAAAGAGAACGGUAACAAAGUCAACGGAGAGAACAAUGAUUCGCAAGGAGGCUACGUGAAUAACCAGACGGAUAACAUGUCCCCCGAGCCGGCUCCUAGGAAGAGGAGGAGAGAUUUCUUCGGAACUAUCAAGAGAAGACUGGGUCGAUCUCGUACUCGCGGUCAGUCACUGGAGAUGACGGACUCCGAACUGGAGACCCAGAACAGGAUGCGUAGCGUCAGUGCCGAGAGGAACUCUCAUGAAAAAGCACUGGCAAUACCGAACCGCAACGUGUAUUCGGCGGGCGCCUCUCCCGCGCAGUCCGGAGACGAAUCCAGAACUUCAAGGAGAUCAUCCCUCAGCGAAGUGUCCGGAUUCAGUACAGCGUCAGCGAGGACCUUCAUUCACGAGGCCUCGACCCUGGUGCUGGAGACUAUAGAGGCCGGUAUAAAGAAGCAUUACCUUGUGCCUCUGGCGAUCGCUCAAAGGUCGAAGUGGCGACGGAAGGGCGUCAAACUGCACAUUUACAAUGAGCACACGUUCAUUGCCAAACAUCUGAGCGGCGGCACCGUGUGCGCCGUGUGCGACAAGCCAGUGGCGCGGCGGCUCGGCAAGCAGGGCUACGAGUGCCGCGACUGCCGGCUGCGCUGCCACAAGCACUGCCACGUGCGCGCGGCCGCCGCCUGCCCCGCCUCCACCGUGCACGACAUGGAGCUAUCCAUGCUCCCCGUGCUAACUGAAUAGUCGAACUAAGCGAGAAGACUGCAAGAUUAAAAUGAGCGAUUCCCACAGAGCAGGACUUACAUCUCGUCCCCUUACGCCGACAGGAACAUAAGAAUGUUGUGAUUUGGUAAUUAAGAGAAAGAAGAAAUGAAAUAAA
rnacentral:misc_RNA from 1 species